UACAGAGGUCUCAAGCGUUGUUCGGAUUCAUUGGGCGUAAAGGGCGCGUAGGCGGCGCGGUAUGUCACCUGUGAAAUCUCCUGGCUCAACUGGGAGCUUGCAGGCGAAACUGCCGUGCUGGAGUGUGGGAGAGGUGCGUGGAAUUCCUGGUGUAGCGGUGAAAUGCGUAGAUAUCAGGAGGAACACCUGUGGCGAAAGCGGCGCACUGGACCACAACUGACGCUGAGGCGCGAAAGCUAGGGGAGCAAACAGG
rnacentral:rRNA from 1 species